GUCACUUCCAGUAUGUCGCGAGAGUUCUCCUGUAAAUACGAUAAGAGCAGGAAACAGAUGGGAACCGCGUCCAACCUUGCUUAUACGUUCGCGUAGAUUCUACGCCGUAGAAGAAUAGCAGAAUAAACCACGUGUGUUGUUGCUGUCGUCUCGACGUUCAGUCUUCAAUACAGGUUUCCAGUAUGCUAAACACAACGCUCACUGAAAUACUAAUGAAGCUAACGUCACGUAGCAAUGCGUAAGGUUCUGGAACGGUCCUUGAACAUGGCUUAUCAUCACAGCACUAGCAUUCACUUCAAGCAAACACAUUCCUGUGCAAGACUCUCAUGAGUAGAAGGAUUUGGUGCGCUUCACAUACCUUCUCCUCAAAUUCAUCCAACUCAUCAUCAGUAAUCUUCCAAGGCUGAUUUUUCCGCAUAGCCUCAACCUGAGUACUGUCUCUGGUCCUCUCGUGAAGACGGAAAGGUUCAAUCAUGUCCUCCAACUUCUUCAAGCUGAGAGCAUACAAAUGAGGACAUGGGGCACCAAGGGCAGACGUUGGACCAAGAUGAUUUUCCAACAUGUACCUUUCGUUACGAGGCUUGAUAUGGAUGUCAUCGAUGACUAUGAUGUCAGUGCAUUGAAUUCGGAACUUAUGUAGCAGCAACUUCAUCCUACAAGACAGAAAAGGCACACCAUAAACUGUUAAAUGUAUAUUUAUUCACCACCAGGGAACAUCUCUUCUAAUUUCAUGCCUUUGCCCUUGGCACACCACAUCGACAGUUAAUCAGACCCAUGCUCGUUAGGCUAUAAUUAAUAGUGAAACAAUUAGCUGAUUCCACUCACUCCUGUUUAUCCAUCUCGCUGCGUCCGGGCUGCCCUGCAACGAAAAUUCUCAUUUUGCAGUUGUUCCACUUCUUCCUGGUGGUGAGGAUGUAGGGGAGCAGCAGAGUGAGACCUGUCAGAAAGCAGGCAGAACCAUGAGACAAGUUGCUUUUUUGUGGAGAAGAUUUAGAUGAUAUGAUAUGAUCUGGAGUCUCUAAUGAGUGAGCAAUUUGUUGUCCCUCACUGAUGCAAUAUGCACCUGCAAUGUUGCUACAAAUAUUCCGUAGACGUAGACAUAAACAUCUCAAGCGUCACCCACCUCCA